CAGACCUGAAAUCAGGCGAGGUUACCCGCUGAACUUAAGCAUAUUAUUAAGCGGAGGAGAAGAAAAUAACUAUGAUUCCCUUAGUAACGGCGAGUGAACCGGGAUCAGCUCAAAGUGGAAAUCAACUGCUCUUUCCGAGCUGUUGACUUGUAGCCUCGAGAGGCGUUACCAGUGGAAGCGCAGGGUUAAGUUUCUUGGGAAAGAACAUCAUAGAGGGUGAGAAUCCCGUCCUUCCCCUGCGUUUUUUGUUCCACGUACGGUACGCUUUUAUAGAGUCGCGUUCAUCGGGAUUUGAGCGCAAAAUGUGUGGUAGGUUUCACAUAAAGCUAAGUACUGGCGCGAGACCGAUAGCAAACGAGUACCGUGAGGGAAAGAUGAAAAGUUCUUUGGAAAGAGAGUUAAAAGUGCCUGAAAUUGCUGAAAAGGAAGCGAUUGGGACCUUUUUGAUUCCAAGAAGUGCCGCCGGUUUGCCAUCUAUCCCUUUGCCUUCUCUCUCUCACCAGGUUUAGGCUUUGGUUUCUUGAUGUAUUUCCGGUUCAUCUUUUUGGAGAGGUCAGCAUCAGCUACUCGGAAUUGAUUUCGUUCAAAGAAGGUAGGUUCCUUGUGGACCGAUAUAUCUUUGUUCUUUCCUUUUCCUUGUGGCUGAGGAGUGUUCCUGUUUCCGAGCUCCACUUUCGAGUACUCGGUUUCUGUGAUGCUGGCUUAAUCGGUUCCAACCGACCCGUCUUGAAACACGGACCAAGGAGUCUAACGAUAUGUGCGAGUAUGCGGGUUUUACUCCUGUAUGCGCAAUGAAAGUGAGAGUAGGGAGAUUUUGGCUUUGCCGUUCUUCGCACCUACGACCGACCACGAUCUCUGAGAGAGGUUUGAGUUGGAGCAUAUCUGUUAGGACCCGAAAGAUGGUGAACUAUGCCUGAGUAGAAUGAAGUCAGGGG